rnacentral:rRNA from 2 species
CAAUGGAUUUCUUGGCUCCCA